GAUGGACGCUGGCGGCGUGCCUAAUACAUGCAAGUCGAGCGAACAGACGAGGAGCUUGCUCCUCUGACGUUAGCGGCGGACGGGUGAGUAACACGUGGAUAACCUACCUAUAAGACUGGGAUAACUUCGGGAAACCGGAGCUAAUACCGGAUAAUAUAUUGAACCGCAUGGUUCAAUAGUGAAAGACGGUUUUGCUGUCACUUAUAGAUGGAUCCGCGCCGCAUUAGCUAGUUGGUAAGGUAACGGCUUACCAAGGCAACGAUGCGUAGCCGACCUGAGAGGGUGAUCGGCCACACUGGAACUGAGACACGGUCCAGACUCCUACGGGAGGCAGCAGUAGGGAAUCUUCCGCAAUGGGCGAAAGCCUGACGGAGCAACGCCGCGUGUGUGAUGAAGGUCUUCGGAUCGUAAAACUCUGUUAUUAGGGAAGAACAAAUGUGUAAGUAACUAUGCACGUCUUGACGGUACCUAAUCAGAAAGCCACGGCUAACUACGUG
rnacentral:rRNA from 1 species